rnacentral:siRNA from 1 species
UUUCGGAUAAGUUGAUACCCUU